UACGGAGGGUGCAAGCGUUAUCCGGAUUCACUGGGUUUAAAGGGUGCGUAGGUGGGCUGGUAAGUCAGUGGUGAAAUCUCCAGGCUUAACUUGGAAACUGCCAUUGAUACUAUUAGUCUUGAAUACCGUGGAGGUCAGCGGAAUAUGUCAUGUGGCGGUGAAAUGCUUAGAUACGACAUAGAACACCAAUUGCGAAGGCAGCUGGCUACACGAAUAUUGACACUGAGGCACGAAAGCGUGGGGAUCAAACAGG
rnacentral:rRNA from 1 species